UACGUAGGGUGCGAGCGUUGUCCGGAAUUAUUGGGCGUAAAGAGCUCGUAGGCGGUCUGUCGCGUCGGGAGUGAAAACCUUGGGCUUAACUCAGGGCUUGCUUUCGAUACGGGCAGACUAGAGGUAUGCAGGGAGAACGGAAUUCCUGGUGUAGCGUGAAAUGCGCAGAUAUCAGGAGGAACACCGGUGGCGAAGGCGGUUCUCUGGCAUGAUCUGACGCUGAGGAGCGAAGUGUGGGAGCGAACAGG
rnacentral:rRNA from 1 species